rnacentral:rRNA from 1 species
UACGUAGGGAGCAAGCGUUGUCCGGAAUCAUUGGGCGUAAAGCGCGCGUAGGCGGCCCGAUAAGUCCGCUGUAAAAGUCAACGGCUCAACUGUUGAAAGCCGGUGGAUACUGUCGGGCUAGAGUACGGAAGAGGCAAGUGGAAUUCCUGGUGUAGCGGUGGAAUGCGCAGAUAUCAGGAGGAACACCCAUAGCGAAGGCAGCUCGCUGGGACGUUACUGACGCUAAGGCGCGAAAGCGUGGGGAGCGAACAGG